rnacentral:tRNA from 1 species
GCGUCCGUAGCUCAGCUGGAUAGAGCAAUUGCCUUCUAAGCAAUGGGUCGCGCGUUCGAAUCGCGCCGGGCGUA